CCCUUAGAUGUCCUGGGCCGCACGCGUGCUACACCGACACUUACACCGAGUUUUUCCGGCCCCGAGAGGUGGCUGGUAAUCAGUAAUAGGUGUCGUGAUGGGGAUAGAUCUUUGGAAUUAUUGAUCUUGAACGAGGAAUGCCUAGUAAUCGUAGGUCAUCAGCCUGCGAUGAUUACGUCCCUGCCCUUUGUACACACCGCCCGUCGCUCCUACCGAUUUCGAGUGGUCCGGUGAACCUUUCGGACAGAGAGAGUCUCGUACAAUCUCUGAAAGUCAAGUAAACCACAUCACUUAGAGGAAGGAGAAGUCGUAACA
rnacentral:rRNA from 1 species